GGGGAUUUAGCUCAAUGGUAGAGCGCUUGCCUAGCAAGCGCAAGGCCCUGGGUUCAGUCCCCA
rfam:Rattus norvegicus chromosome 14, whole genome shotgun sequence.